rnacentral:snRNA from 1 species
AGCUUUGCACAGUGGCAGUAUCAUAGCCAAUGAGGUUUAUCCGAGGUGCGAUUAUUGCUAAUUGAAAACAAAACGUAAGCUG